ACAUGCCUAUAGCAUAGUGUUAAUGCACCGGAUCCCAUUAGAACUCUGUAGUUAAGCGCGCUCAGGCUAGAGUAGUACUAGGAUGGGUGAUCACCUGGGAAGUCCUGGUCUUUUACAUGUC
rnacentral:rRNA from 1 species